CCUACGGGUGGCAGCAGUGAGGAAUAUUGGUCAAUGGACGAGAGUCUGAACCAGCCAAGUAGCGUGAAGGAUGACUGCCCUAUGGGUUGUAAACUUCUUUUAUAAAGGAAUAAAACGAGGCACGUGUGCCUUUUUGUAUGUACUUUAUGAAUAAGGAUCGGCUAACUCCGUGCCAGCAGCCGCGGUAAUACGGAGGAUCCGAGCGUUCUCCGGAUUUAUUGGGUUUAAAGGGAGCGUAGAUGGGUUGUUAAGUCAGUUGUGAAAGUUUGCGGCUCAACCGUAAAAUUGCAAUUGAUACUGGCAGUCUUGAGUACAGUUGAGGUAGGCGGAAUUCGUGGUGUAGCGGUGAAAUGCUUAGAUAUCACGAAGAACCCCGAUUGCGAAGGCAGCUUACUAAACUGUGACUGACAUUGAUGCUCGAAAGUGUGGGUAUCAAACAGGAUUAGAUACCCCAGUAGUC
rnacentral:rRNA from 1 species